rnacentral:rRNA from 1 species
UGGGGAAUAUUGGACAAUGGGCGAAAGCCUGAUCCAGCCAUGCCGCGUGUGUGAAGAAGGCCUUUGGUUGUAAAGCACUUUAAGCGGGGAGGAGGGCACCACGGUUAAUACCCGUGACUGUCGGACGUUACCCGCAGAAUAAGCACCGGCUAACUCUGUGCCAGCAGCCGCGGUAAUACAGAGGGUGCGAGCGUUAAUCGGAAUUACUGGGCGUAAAGCGCGCGUAGGCGGCUUGUUAAGUCAAAUGUGAAAUCCCCGAGCUUAACUUGGGCAUUGCAUUCGAUACUGGCAAGCUAGAGUAUGGGAGAGGAAGGUAGAAUUCCCAGGUGUAGCGGUGAAAUGCGUAGAGAUCUGGAGGAAUACCGAUGGCGAAGGCAGCCUUCUGGCCUAAUACUGACGCUGAGGUGCGAAAGCAUGGGGGAGCAA